GCCCUUAGAGUUUGAUCCUGGCUCAGGAAGUCGUAACAAGGUAGCCGUAACUCUGCCUAGAGUUUGAUCCGGCUCAGGAAGUCGUAACAAGGUAGCCGUACCGUAGCCUGUAGAGUUUGAUCCUGGCUCAGAUUGAACGCUGGCGGCAUGCCUUACACAUGCAAGUCGAACGGCAGCACGGGUGCUUGCACCUGGUGGCGAGUGGCGAACGGGUGAGUAAUACAUCGGAACAUGUCCUGUAGUGGGGGAUAGCCCGGCGAAAGCCGGAUUAAUACCGCAUACGAUCUACGGAUGAAAGCGGGGGACCUUCGGGCCUCGCGCUAUAGGGUUGGCCGAUGGCUGAUUAGCUAGUUGGUGGGGUAAAGGCCUACCAAGGCGACGAUCAGUAGCUGGUCUGAGAGGACGACCAGCCACACUGGGACUGAGACACGGCCCAGACUCCUACGGGAGGCAGCAGUGGGGAAUUUUGGACAAUGGGCGAAAGCCUGAUCCAGCAAUGCCGCGUGUGUGAAGAAGGCCUUCGGGUUGUAAAGCACUUUUGUCCGGAAAGAAAUCCUUGGUUCUAAUAUAGCCGGGGAAUGACGGUACCGGAAGAAUAAGCACCGGCUAACUACGUGCCAGCAGCCGCGGUAAUACGUAGGGUGCGAGCGUUAAUCGGAAUUACUGGGCGUAAAGCGUGCGCACGCGGUUUGCUAAGACCGAUGUGAAAUCCCCGGGCUC
rnacentral:rRNA from 1 species